rnacentral:rRNA from 1 species
ACGCACGCUGGCGGCGUGCUUAACACAUGCCAGUCGAGCGGUAAGGCCUUUCGGGGUACACGAGCGGCGAACGGGUGAGUAACACGUGGGUGAUCUGCCCUGCACUUCGGGAUAAGCCUGGGAAACUGGGUCUAAUACCGGAUAUGACCUCCUAUCGCAUGGUGGGUGGUGGAAAGAUUUAUCGGUGCAGGAUGGGCCCGCGGCCUAUCAGCUUGUUGGUGGGGUAAUGGCCUACCAAGGCGACGACGGGUAGCCGACCUGAGAGGGUGACCGGCCACACUGGGACUGAGACACGGCCCAGACUCCUACGGGAGGCAGCAGUGGGGAAUAUUGCACAAUGGGCGAAAGCCUGAUGCAGCGACGCCGCGUGAGGGAUGACGGCCUUCGGGUUGUAAACCUCUUUCAGCAGGGACGAAGCGCAAGUGACGGUACCUGCAGAAGAAGCACCGGCUAACUACGUG